rnacentral:rRNA from 1 species
GAUGAACGCUGGCGGCGUGCCUAAUACAUGCAAGUCGAGCGAACGGAUAAGGAGCUUGCUCCUUUGAAGUUAGCGGCGGACGGGUGAGUAACACGUGGGUAACCUACCUAUAAGACUGGAAUAACUUCGGGAAACCGGAGCUAAUGCCGGAUAACAUUUGGAACCGCAUGGUUCUAAAGUAAAAGAUGGUUUUGCUAUCACUUACAGAUGGACCCGCGCCGUAUUAGCUAGUUGGUAAGGUAACGGCUUACCAAGGCAACGAUACGUAGCCGACCUGAGAGGGUGAUCGGCCACACUGGAACUGAGACACGGUCCAGACUCCUACGGGAGGCAGCAGUAGGGAAUCUUCCGCAAUGGACGAAAGUCUGACGGAGCAACGCCGCGUGAGUGAUGAAGGUUUUCGGAUCGUAAAACUCUGUUAUUAGGGAAGAACAAAUGUGUAAGUAACUGUGCACAUCUUGACGGUACCUAAUCAGAAAGCCACGGCUAACUACGUGCCAGCAGCCGCAGUAA